rnacentral:sRNA from 1 species
CUAGCCUCAUUCUAUUCCAGCCCGAGCAGCGAGAGCGUCUGUCCCUCCCUUCCUCUAGGCCUUUUGCAAUCUCAACAGAUAGGCUUUUAAAUUAAGUAGUGAUUUGGAAUAUCCUCCUCUGCUCUGUCUGAGCAGAUGAGGUCAGUACAGGUUGAGGCAGCCCAGAGUGAGCAGCUGUCGGGAGACUGAAGAGAAUACUGAUGGACGGCUGCGGCGCCUGGACUGUUUUUCCACGGGUACCCAGAGCUCUAUUGUGUAAAUUAAGCUGUGGAUGCCCAACAACCAGAGGCGGCCUGCUGCAAAUGAAAGCCAUUCUCCUGAGCUGUGAUUCUGAGUCCUGGCGGUCAGAUCUCUUCCUGAAUUCAACUCCCAGAGCUGGAGGCAGCCCAUCUCCUCCAAGGCAGCCUAUCUUGAUCAGCAUGCUGGGCGACUUCCGUUGCAGCCAUAAAGCCAUACUGCUUGUGUGAGAAGCGCCCUGAAAGCCCAAACUGUGUGCUAAGACCCGGAGUUUGGGGAUGGGGUGGACAUUCUGUAUGAGACAGUCCUGCUUGGUUGUGAUUGGCAGAAUCAUUAUCUAGGCUUGUCGUCAAAAACCUAAAUUUAAAUUGUUGGUGGUUUGUUCGUUUGAGUCAGGGUUCGACUCGACAGCCUAGGCUGUCCUAGAACUCACUGUCGGAAUCAGGUUACCCACAAACUUUUAAUAUUAGCCUCCUGAAGACUAGGCCACCACACCAGC